rnacentral:rRNA from 1 species
GAGUUUGAUCAUGGCUCAGGAUGAACGCUGACAGAAUGCUUAACACAUGCAAGUCUACUUGAUCCUUCGGGUGAAGGUGGCGGACGGGUGAGUAACGCGUAAAGAACUUGCCUUACAGACUGGGACAACAUUUGGAAACGAAUGCUAAUACCGGAUAUUAUGAUUGGGUCGCAUGAUCUGGUUAUGAAAGCUAUAUGCGCUGUGAGAGAGCUUUGCGUCCCAUUAGUUAGUUGGUGAGGUAACGGCUCACCAAGACGAUGAUGGGUAGCCGGCCUGAGAGGGUGAACGGCCACAAGGGGACUGAGACACGGCCCUUACUCCUACGGGAGGCAGCAGUGGGGAAUAUUGGACAAUGGACCAAAAGUCUGAUCCAGCAAUUCUGUGUGCACGAUGAAGUUUUUCGGAAUGUAAAGUGCUUUCAGUUGGGAAGAAGUCAGUGACGGUACCAACAGAAGAAGCGACGGCUAAAUACGUGCCAGCAGCCGCGGUAAUACGUAUGUCGCAAGCGUUAUCCGGAUUUAUUGGGCGUAAAGCGCGUCUAGGCAGCUUAGUAAGUCUGAUGUGAAAAUGCGGGGCUCAACCCCGUAUUGCGUUGGAAACUGCUAAACUAGAGUACUGGAGAGGUAGGCGGAACUACAAGUGUAGAGGUGAAAUUCGUAGAUAUUUGUAGGAAUGCCGAUGGGGAAGCCAGCCUACUGGACAGAUACUGACGCUAAAGCGCGAAAGCGUGGGUAGCAAACAGGAUUAGAUACCCUGGUAGUCCACGCCGU